GACGAACGCUGGCGGCGUGCCUAAUACAUGCAAGUAGAACGCUGAAGAGAGGAGCUUACUCUUCUUGGAUGAGUUGCGAACGGGUGAGUAACGCGUAGGUAACCUGCCUUGUAGCGGGGGAUAACUAUUGGAAACGAUAGCUAAUACCGCAUAACAAUGGAUGACACAUGUCAUUUAUUUGAAAGGGGCAAUUGCUCCACUACAAGAUGGACCUGCGUUGUAUUAGCUAGUAGGUGAGGUAAUGGCUCACCUAGGCGACGAUACAUAGCCGACCUGAGAGGGUGCUCGGCCACGCUGGGACUGAGACACGGCCCAGACUCCUGCGGGAGGCAGCCGUAGGGAAUCUUCGGCAAUGGGGGCAACCCUGACCGAGCAACGCCGCGUGAGUGAAGAAGGUUGUCGGGUCGUAAAGCUCUGUUGUAAGUCAAGAACGGGUGUGAGAGUGGAAAGCUCACACUGUGACGGUAGCUUACCAGAAAGGGACGGCUAACUACGUG
rnacentral:rRNA from 1 species